rnacentral:rRNA from 1 species
GACGAACGCUGGCGGCGUGCCUAACACAUGCAAGUCGAACGGAGUUAAGUCUUCGGAUUUAACUUAGUGGCGAACGGGUGAGUAACGCGUGAGGAACCUACCUUUCAGUGGGGGACAACAGUUGGAAACGACUGCUAAUACCGCAUAACGUCAUUCGGGGGCAUCCCUGAGUGACCAAAGAUUUAUUGCUGAAAGAUGGCCUCGCGUCUGAUUAGAUAGUUGGUGGGGUAACGGCCUACCAAGUCGACGAUCAGUAGCCGGACUGAGAGGUUGAACGGCCAGAUUGGGAGUGGGAUACGGCCCAGACUGCUACGGGAGGCAGCGGUGGGGAGUGUUGGGCAAUGGGGGAAACCAUGACCAAGCAGCGCCGCGGGAAGGAAGAAGGCCUUCGGGUUGUAAACUUCUUUGAGCAGGGACAAACACAAUGACGGUACCUGCAGAAAAAGCAACGGCUAACUACGUGCCAGCCGCCGCGGUAAAAC